UACGGGGGGGGCAAGCGUUGUUCGGAAUUACUGGGCGUAAAGGGCUCGUAGGCGGCCAACUAAGUCGGACGUGAAAUCCCCAGGCUCAACCUGGGAACUGCGUCUGAUACUGGAUGGCUUGAAUCCGGGAGAGGGAUGCGGAAUUCCAGGUGUAGCGGUGAAAUGCGCAGAUAUCGGGAGGAACACCAGUGGCGAAGGCGACUACCUGGCCUGUUCUUGACGCUGAGGCGCGAAAGCUAGGGGAGCAAACGGG
rnacentral:rRNA from 1 species